AGUGAACGCUGGCGGUAGGCCUAACACAUGCAAGUCGAACGGCAGCACAGGAGAGCUUGCUCUCUGGGUGGCGAGUGGCGGACGGGUGAGGAAUACAUCGGAAUCUACUCUGUCGUGGGGGAUAACGUAGGGAAACUUACGCUAAUACCGCAUACGACCUACGGGUGAAAGCAGGGGACCUUCGGGCCUUGCGCGAUUGAAUGAGCCGAUGGCGGAUUAGCUAGUUGGCGGGGUAAAGGCCCACCAAGGCGACGAUCCGUAGCUGGUCUGAGAGGAUGAUCGGCCACACUGGAACUGCGACACUGUCCAGACUCCUACGGGAGGCAGCAGUGGGGAAUAUUGGACAAUGGGCGCAAGCCUGAUCCAGCCAUCCCGCGUGGGUGAAGAAGGCCUUCGGGUUGUAAAGCCCUUUUGUUGGGAAAGAAAUCCAGCUGGCUAAUACCCGGUUGGGAUGACGGUACCCGAAGAAUAAGCACCGGCUAACUUCGUGCCAGCCGCCGCCGUAA
rnacentral:rRNA from 1 species